GCCUAAUCCUUUGUAUUAGCUGAUUUCUUGGUUUGUUCUCUGGUAAUGAAGUUUUUCCUUUCAAAAAAAAAAAAAAAAAGAAUAGACUUACCAUGUUAAAAUUAGGGCAUAGAAAAUAAAAACCCAAAUAAAUUUGAAGUAACCGCUCAUAAUAUUCUUCUUCACUGUACACCCCGCGCACAGUCUUCUUCUUCUUCGCAUCCCGCCAUCCCCAACGUUCUCGAAGGUCCGUUCGCAGCUCGACCUUAUUCGUGCUCGGCGUCGCCCACAGGUGGCCUUUGGAGAUGGGUCUGUUUGAUUUCCAGUACCUUCGGAGGUGAGACUGUUCCAUUUCCAGCGUCGAAGUAGUAUUCAUCAAAACGGUGGUGGCUCUGAGGGGAUGGAAGUGAUAUUCAAGUAGCUCUAGCAAAGUGGACUGGUAGAUGAAUGAUACCGAAUGUGUUUAUUGGAGGGAAAAACGUUGGUGGCUGUGACGUCUGUAAUAAGGCAAUAAGUUUCAACUUCCAUCAUUUUCUCUAUGUUUAGUCUCUUGUUUUAUUUAACUUAAUCUCCUGUACAGAAAUGAAAACAUACCCGUUUAAGUAAAAUCUCUUUUGGGAUUAUUGCAGCGGUGUUAGAGAAGCACCAGACAUGUCAGCUUGUUUCUCUCCUUACUGAAGCUGGCUCCAUUGCGGUUAAGGCUUUUGGUCUGUGAAUAUUAAUUAAGGCCACGAUAGCCUUAAUAAUAUAACAAGAUAAAGAGGGAUUUGUAUUUGUUGAUGGGGAUGGAAAACAUUUCUAACACAUACUUAAUUGGUUAAGGGAUGGUGUUGUUCCUACAUUAAAAGACUCAAUUUGUAGAGCUUUUGAGGGAGGCAGAAUACUAUCAGCUACUGGAUAAUGAGUCUGACCGAGGAAAAUGACAUCUAUCUUGGCUGUCUAGCUAUGACUAAAGAACCUACUUGUGACAACUCGACACUGGAAGCUUUGAUGAGACUCUUUUUGCCAGCACACGACCCUAAGCUGUCUUUGCUUAUUUCCUUGCUUAGCUACCCUCGAAUGGCUUGGUACGCGCUUGCCGGCCCCUCACCCCUAUUAGGUUGCUUGGAUGCCGAUCAGUGGCCUAUUUACCGAAUCAUGAUUCUUUUGAGUCCUAUUUUUGCAAACGAAUAAGACGGUGCUGAUUCUGAUGUAUUCGAUUUCCUUUCUCAUUCCCCGCUAUCCUUGCUUGGCUAGCUUGCUUCGAAAGCUGUCAUGCUCCAGUUAAUUAUUUUUCUUGAUUAUUGUUAAUUUCAAGAGGUACGUAUGUUCUCUUAUUAGAAGAGUUUGAGUAUUUUAAAUAUUCAUUCAUAGUGAAGUAGGUUCUGAGAUUAAAAUUGUGUGUUGCGGUGAUAAUGGAAGGUUGCGAACUUGUGUGUUUUAGUGAAGUAGGUUCUCAGAAAUUUAUUUGUGUGCUGCGGAGAUAUAAGGAAGAAAUUUAUUGUGUGUUGUUUGAAUUGUUUGAUUCUGUGUUGAAUUCAACUCAUGCAAUGAAUUUUUUUUAUUGUGGCGGGAAGAACUCUUACACAAAGGAUGAGAUCAAUGAAGUACGUGAAGAAUAGGUACAGUGCGUCAUGGAUUUGAUGAGUACUACAUAGGUUCACUCACUUUUGUUAACAGACUUUUAAGGAGAUAUACCUACAAUGUUAACUUAGACUCUCUUGAAGAUAUCCACACUUUUGUUGUCUAACUAAAGUUUACAAUGCUUAUAUUAGUCAUUUUGUAAUUAACUUAAGACUCGUUAUUUUGGAUACUUAGUUGAAAUUCUAGUAUUUUAUAUUACUGUGA